rnacentral:rRNA from 1 species
UACGAAGGGUGCAAGCGUUGUUCGGAAUUACUGGGCGUAAAGCGCGCGUAGGCGGGUCAGUAAGUCGAUUGUGAAAUCCCUGGGCUUAACCUGGGAACUGCAGUCAAAACUACUGAUCUUGAAUGUCUGAGAGGAUGGCGGAAUUCCCGGUGUAGUAGUGAAAUACGUAGAUAUCGGGAAGAACACCUGAGGCGAAGGCGGCUAUCUGGCGGUACAUUGACGCUGAUGCGCGAAAGCGUGGGGAGCAAACAGG